GACGUAGCAGUGAGCACGUGAUCGAUCCGUACUGAUCGAUGCGUCAGUCGUCGACUACGUAGCUCGCUGGAUCGCCAGCUACCAGAUGACGGGUGCAGCGCGGACAUCGAUAUCGAUGCAACGGAGACUUACUGCUGACAGGUCGACGAUCAGGAUUGGAUCCUUCGAGCGGUCACAGUUGUGCAUGGUCGUCGUCAGCUCGGUCGUGAGAUGUCGGCUAGUCCGCACGAGCGCACCUCGCCGUGUGCAGCGACUAUGCUGGGACUCACGGGGACCGCGGGUACUCGAGAAGUUGGAUGACGUCAGAUCAUCAUGCCCCUUACGUCCAGGGCUUCACGGCAUGCUACAAUGGCCCGUACAACGGGGAUGCGCCACCGGAAGCUGGAGCCGAUCCCUGAAAACCCGUCUCAGUUCGGAUCGCCGUCUCAACUUGACUGCGUGAAGGCGGAGUUCGUUGUUAUCGCGAAAUAGCCACGGCGCGGUGAAUGCCGUUCCGGGCCUUGUACACCCCCCCCGUCCAGUCCUGGAAAUUGGCCAGCACCGGAGCCCGUGGCCUUACCCCCUGCGGGAAGGAACCGUUUAAGGUGAGGCUUGGGAAUGGGGCUAAAUUGUAACCAAGUUACCGUACCCGAAGGGGCGGCCUGAUCCCCUCCCUUCUUCGGAGAAUUCCGCCCGAAGUUUCUCCGGCCGUGCCUGCCCCGGGGUCGCCGCCGUCGGGGCGGUUUGGGGGCGGUGGUGUGGAAGAGAUCCUGGGCCUUCCGUGGCUUCGUUGUGGGAAGUUUCCCCGGAAGGGUGGGGGUGCCCCUUUGGGCUUCCGGAUUCCCCCCCCCGGCCUUGGGCCUGGCGCGAUUCGAUGCCCAUCGUGCCUGAUGGCGGGCUGGUCCCGUCCGGACGGCGUGGUGGUGCGUGGUGGCUUGAGAACUGGAUAGUGGACGCGAGCAAGACGGGGUUUCCUUUGAUUCCUCGUUCUUGCUGUUGAUUUCGAAUCGAACUCUAUUUUUAGUGUUUGUUUCGAUCGUUUUGUGAUCAUUUUAGUGUGAUGAUUUGUCGUCUGGGAAUUUGCUAGGAAGGAUCCUUGCGGCCAUGCGCACCGUGUGUUCCGU
rnacentral:misc_RNA from 1 species